UAUAUCCUCAUAAAAGGCUAUCAGGUUGGUCAAGCAUGGCUUCCCCUUGGUGAAGCCAUGCUGACUGUCCCUAAUGACCCUUUUAUCCUUGAUAUGUCUAGAGACAACACCAAGCAUAAGUUGUUCCAUCACCUUACCAGGGAUGGAGGCGAGGCUGACCGGUCUAUAGUUACCUGGGUCCUCUUUCUUUCCCUUUUUGAAGACCAGAGUGACAUUUGCUCUUUUCCUCUCAGAAGGGAAUCUCCUACUACAAUUACCGUUCUUUCUUUCUUUUCAGAGGUGGUCUUAAGGCAUGGUGUCAGCUGCCUCUUCUGAUGUGACCUCAUAGGCGGGCCUUCCACCACAUCCUUGACUACCUUUCCUUCAAGAUUGAAGGCCUCAAACCUAAUAUGGAGGGGCACCUGGGGAAGCGAGUUAAGAUGCAGUUGAUAGUACAAAAUGCCAGUAUACCUUUUUCUGCCUAAUUGACUGCUUCUACAUAGGGCACCAUGUACAGACAGAAGUUAAACCAUACUCCUGUUCUUCACAGAUGACAGUUUGCAUUUGAUAUUUGAUGAGUUGUUUUGGACUGGGAAAAUGUAUGAGGCAUUAGGAACUUGGAUUAAUUCCUCAUGAGAGCUCCAAUGCUUUGUAUCUCCUCAAUAUGCUGUCUAGGUCUAGAAGGAUGUUGCAUUUUGUAACAUUGAAAUAUUCUGAAACGUCUUUAAAGAUCAAGUAGUAGCUUCUUUUUAUACCAAGAAUUUUGCUUUCAAUAAAGUUUAGUUUUA